rnacentral:rRNA from 1 species
CCUACGGGAGGCAGCAGUAGGGAAUCUUCCACAAUGGGCGAAAGCCUGAUGGAGCAACGCCGCGUGGGUGAAGAAGGUCUUCGGAUCGUAAAACCCUGUUGUUAGAGAAGAAAGUGCUUUAGAGUAACUGUUCACGUUUCGACGGUAUCUAACCAGAAAGCCACGGCUAACUACGUGCCAGCAGCCGCGGUAAUACGUAGGUGGCAAGCGUUAUCCGGAUUUAUUGGGCGUAAAGGUAUCGCAUGCGGUCUUUUAAGUCUGAUGUGAAAGCCUUCGGCUUAACCGGAGUAGUGCAUUGGAAACUGGAAGACUUGAGUGCAGAAGAGGAGAGUGGAACUCCAUGUGUAGCGGUGAAAUGCGUAGAUAUAUGGAAGAACACCAGUGGCGAAAGCGGCUUUCUGGUCUGUAACUGACGCUGAGGUUCGAAAGCGUGGGGAGCAAACAGGAUUAGAUACCCCAGUAGUC